rnacentral:lncRNA from 1 species
GGAGAGGGACAGGGCAGGGCCACCUAUUGGGCUACCCCUGUUCAUUCUUUUGUCUCUUUGGAUGCUCUGAUGCUAGGGGCCGGACUGGCGGGGGUGCAUGCUAGGGCCCCUGCCCCCAUCCACCCAGAGACCCCUCCCUCAGUGUCCGUCUGGAGAUUCUAUUCAUGUGAAGCCAACAUUCCUGGAGCCCACAGGGCCAGCAAGAUCAUCUCACACAGGCAGAUCGCUGUCUUGCCUAAUGAGAAAAUGAUGACAUGGCCCCCUGCUAUGGCCCCUGGGGACCUGAGUCCCCAGCACCAGCAUGGCAGCUUCACCCCAGCCUUGCCCCACAGCUCCACCCACAGGUCCUGGGAAGUUUCCUCCCAUGGACUCCCUGCCCCUUCCAGGCAGGGCCUUCCCAUCACCUGUGUUGAGACCUCUGAACUCCCAGGGCAUUAGAACAGCAGGCCCUUCAGGUCAUUAAGACCCCAUUGCACCAAGGGAAACUGAGGCAUGGGAUGAUGUGACCCCAGUGUCCUGCAGCCUCAACCUGCCCUCCGGCCCCACAGACCCAGCAGCACCACGCAGGGAACAGCAGAAAGGCAGGACUUCCUCCUUCCUCUUUGCCUGCUCCCCACUCCAGGUUGACAUCGCUGGGACCUCAGAGAGCCAGGUCUGGC